AGAACCCAUUACGAGCGAGCCGCCACCUUAAAAUGGAUUCAAAAAUAUAUGUGAUGGGGCCUAAUCUACAAAAGACCAUCCAGCAAGUCACUUAGAAUUGCAUGAUUUGUGCUAAAAAUGACCCAGGGCUGCUGUCAGACCUCCCCAGAUAGUGACUCAACACAGGGAAACCCACCCCACCGAGGACUGGAAAAUAGACUUUACUCAAACAUCUCAGCUGCAAGAAAUUUCAGAUAACCUGCUAGUGUCUGUGGGUACUUUUUCAGGAUGGGCGGAAACAUAUGCUAAGUGGACAGAAAGUUUCUGAAGUGAUUAAAGCCCUCCUUAAAGAAAUUGGCCCUUGACUUGGAUCAAGGCACUGAAAUCACAUUCGCCCUAGAGACCACAUCAACAGGAAGAACCAAGAAGAUGAAGCAGACAUCAAACAGGAACAUCUCUAAAAUAGGUCAAAAGACUAAUUUAACUUGGGAUACGGCCUUGCUCACUGCCCAGGUACAGAUGAGUGGCUCCCAGAAGUAGGCUUAAAUUAAGUCCCUCUGAAAUACUGUGUGACAAGUCAUUCCAAGUGUCUGCCAGUAAAAGAAUUAGCAGUUGCCAACUAUGUUAACACUUUGGGCACUGUACUAACCUCUGUUCAUGAGUUUGCCUCCACCCCACCUGCCUAUCCAAGUAGAUGGUAAUUUCACUGUCGCUGGAAAAGGAUCAACCUAUUUGUUUAAAUUUGUCCGCAUUAAAAAAAAAAUUGUCCGCAUAAAUAAUAGCACAGGAAUUUCGUAGGUGUAUUGGGAAUUGGGAAUACAAACCUCAACUUCAGCUACAAACGAGACAGCAAAGUGCUAAGGGGUUUCAUCAGGUUCAAAUAAUUGUAGAUAAGGAGGGGAUUUUAUUGCUGACUAAAGGUUCUAAGGAAUAUUCAUUGCCCACCCUCAGCAGGAGGUGGCUGGAGCAGUCUUUGUUCUUGCCCACGAGAUUGUGGAAUGGGCAUUGACAGUGAGGAACUGCAAUAGGGAAGAACCUUUGUGGUCUACCGCAAAUUAAUCACUAAAGGAUGUUGCCUAUACGCUUAAAUUAUACAUAUUGGCCCAUCCCUGGGACCCUGCCUCCUAGCUAAUGAGAAUUGAGCUAACCCUCUGUUUAGCUCACACAAAACACCCUGACUAGGGCCACCUGGGAAUGGCUGCAGGCAGGAAGAAACGAGCACCUCCCCUCUGGAGGUGACCGGAACCACAAACUGUUUGACUUUACUCCCUCCCCUUCAGCAUAAAAGAAGUCUGAGUUCUAACUCAGGCAAGAUGGUUUUUGGGGACACGAGUCCACCCUAUUCUUGGUCUGCUGGCUUCUCCUUGCCCCAGUAACUCGUCUCUCCACUUACUGCCUUGUUGUGGGAUGAGCAGUACUAGCUUGGACUCUAUCAAUACUGUGGCACGGACUUUUGAGCAAAGCAAGCUUUAUUGUGAGGCCAGCUGGCAGGGAGACAGAAGGCAGGGCUCAGAUGUGUCUCCCGCAUUUGGAGGUUGGGGACAGCAUGGUAUGUGGAAAUGCUGGGGGGCCAGUUUCUGGCAGAGCGCUUUGGAACUUGGCCUCUUACGGUAAAACGCAGUAAAGCAGUUCAGCCGUGGAUCUUCCUGGACCACAGAACCUUCCCUUCUGAAAGUGUCCCUGUCUUCAUGUUCUGCUUACUUUCCUGUCCUUUGGUUCUGAGUGUUAUUUGAGGUCAGAAUUCUCUGCAUGUGCUUCAGCUGCAUGACAUCCGGUUUGGUUCUGUUGUCUCUGAAAAACAACUCAGUACUUAUUAUUGACAAGGCAGGACCAGUUUGGGCUGGUCCUGCGGUUACAAUGUGAAGUCCAUUCAGGGGACCAAGCUACUUUGGUGCGGCCCUGCUCUCCUUUGAGGGCUUUGAUGUCCUCUGCAUUCUGUCAACCGAAAGUAAAAAAGAGAAAUGAGGUUUCGUAGGUGAGGCUCACAAAUGACAUAUAUCACUUCCUCUUGCCCCGUUUUGGCUGGAACUCAGUUACAUGGCCACUUCCAUUCAAAAUUUGUUUUGAAGCUUAAGUUGCUGAUGGAUGAAUCAAGUCAGUAUUAGAAGCAUUACAAUUGCUGUUCUUUUCCCCAUAUUCUCAUUGACAGCAAAAUGUCCAAACAUGAAAACCUAAAGGUAGUUUACGUAGAAUACAUUCAUUUAUAGCAAUUCAAAUGAAUUUAAAGGAAAAUAAAAUUAUAACAUUAAUUUGAAAAAAAUACUUAUGGAAACUACAAGUUAAAACAUUUUUAUUUCCAGUAAACCUCAGGUCAUACUUUUCUGGGGGUGUCUUUAAUGGCCGUGUGAUUUUCUUUCCAACUCUGCAUUCAGUGCUAUCGUUUUGGUAGCUUGAAAUCUGCCAGGGCGGGAGUAUUUACACAGGAGAAAGGAACAAGCUAAAAACCAGGGUUUGGAACCCUCCUGCUCCAGGAAAGCUAGUUGUUAAACAUUUGCAGUUUGCCCCUGAACUUAGCCAAAAGAGUAGCAAAUGCUAUCUGGAAAUUUAAAUUAAGAGGUAUUUUACAAACCUAUUGGGAAUUGUGAGAAACUUGAGCCAUAAAUUCAAAGAAAACUAAGCAAAUGGGAAGGAAAAAGGAAGCAAUUAUUAUCUCUAGGAAAAGCUGAAUGUAGGUACUAUACUUACAAUGUAUUAAUCUGGCUCAGCUAGGGGCAACACUUUACAUAAUCAUUAUAAGGAAAGCACUGAAAACGAGUCCAAUCAAAACCGGACUGUAAUCAUAUUGGAGGAGAGAAAAAAGGAAAGAGUGGCUGUGCAAGGGCGUUAAAAGUCUUCACCUGUCACAUCAGAAAUGUCUCCUCCUGGAUCACUAGACACAGCGAACAUAUCCACCCAACAGCCCCUGCUGCUGCGCUUGCAAUCCAUCACCACGUUGGUACGGAGGUCCUCCUUCUCACGGGCUGCUCCCAGCCAGUGACCGAGGAAGAGAUGCUAGGGCCCUGGGAGGGAGGGGAUUCCCUCAAUGGGCCGCUGGGACGCAAGGACUCCCCAGGGACCUUGCUGGCCCUCACCAGCUGCUCUGCAGCCUAAGGUGACUCCACCCGUCUUCCUUCCUUGUCCCUUGACUUAGUGAGACCUGCAGGCAGUCGGACGGCGUUUCCCAGCCUUUCCCCCUCCCAGGUCCCUCAGUUUUUCUCAUAGGCAUUUCCCCCAAUUUCUCAUUUCCGUGUCUUCCUCUUGGAAGACCUAGACUAACACACACAUCAAUUAAUAUCUAAAAUUGAUGCAUCUAAACACUAUCUCUCUUCCUUGAAAUAUACAUCUAAAAAUCAGAAGCAAUAGCUAAGAGAUGUGGUGAAGGAGCACACAUUUUUUCAAUCAAGUGAUAUACUUGACUUUUAAAUAUAUGCGUAUGUAUUAAAUAAAUUAUUUUAAAAAACAAAAGACUGCUAGUCCAGAUAUCGGUUGCUUUAGAUGGCUUAGGGGAAACAACAUUUUAUCUAAACAUUAUCAUCUGUUCUUCUAGCCGUGAUUCCUUUCAUUUUCUUUUUGCAUCCAGUAGCCACGGGCUGAUUCAACAAACUCCUCGCAAACAGCUCCUCCCAGAGGGAGCAAAAUAAUCUGCCAUCUAAACACCCACUCUGGGAUAAAAGUGCUGUUGACAGUGUCCUUGAGUUGUUUCUACAUUUAAUACAAAUGGAAGGAUAAUUUCCAGAGGCUUUUUUUUUUUUCCUUCUCUCUCCACUUUAGGUAGAGAAGCCAUUAGUAUGACUUUGCCUUGGGGAUUUGUGCAGGUGCCAUCAAAAGUUGUAUAAAUCCUCCAAAAAUUCACUAGAACUUUUAUUUAUGUUUGUUUUUAUUUUUUAUUUUAUUCACUAGAACUUUUAAACAAAAUCUAGGAGGACACUUUUUCACAUGUUAAAAAAUGAUACUGUCACACAUUGAAACAUUUCUAUUUUAUGAUCCGAAAACAAUAUCAUACACCCUCUUCAUGAAGGUUAAAGAAUUUUCCCUUGCUGUGCUCAAGUCUUUAUGAAAAAGCUACCGAACCCUAAACCCUUUCAAUUUUUCCCUGAAAAAUGUAGUGGGAAAUUCCAGUUAAACUAGUCGAUUAAAACAUUAUACUAUCAUCCUCUCUUAUAACUCCUCUACAAUGGCAAUGAAGGAAACUUUAAAAGGUAUAGUCACAAGAUAAAAAAAGAAAAGGCUGCCGCAGAGAAUGUACAAAGCAGAUGGAUGAGUGGUAAGUAAGAGCAGAACAGAGAAAUCUAAAACCUAACCCCCAGAAGGCAAAACCCUAAAGAAGCAAACUGACCUUUGCCCCUAACUUUUGAGGAAAUUAAAGUAAAACAAGCAAAUAAAAGCAGUGAUAUCCUCAAAGAUUUAAGACACUGUGUAGAUAGCCUUAGAACAAGAAAAAUGUGCUUUUAUAAAAGCAACUUUAGAAAGUAAAAGGAGGAGUUUUGGAAGUUAAUCAUAAUAUUACAGAUAUUAGACAUGCAAUAAAAAAAUCUAGAAGAUGAGGCCAAGAAAAUUUUACAGGAAUUAAAACAAAGAGACAAAAAGGUUUAAUAUAAAAGGAGAGAAAGAUUAGAAAGCAGGAGAACCGGACGAGUUGCAGAGGAUAAAAGAAAGAGAGGAGCAAUGGACAACAAAAGAUUGCCCAAAAAAUCCCCCCAUUCCUUUAGUCAUGAAUUCAUCUACUCACUUUUCAGUGAGCACCUUCCCUAUGCCAGACCCUACUGUAGCUGAUGUGAAUUCAGCAGUAAAGAGUAAAGCAGUAAAAUUCCUGAUCUCACAGAACCCACUCAGAAAUGAAGCCUGUUGGAGUUCCCGUCGUGGCGCAGUGGUUAACGAAUCCGACUAAGAACCACAAGCUUGUGGGUUCGAUCCCUGCCCUUGCUCAGUGGGUUAACAAUCUGGCGUUGCCGUGUGCUGUGGUGUAGGUCGCAGAUGCGGCUCAGAUCCUGCGUUGCUGUGGCUGUGGUGUAGGCCAGCAGCUAUAGCUCUGAUUAGACCCCUAGCCUGGGAACCUCCAUAUGCCACAGGAGCAGCCCUAAAAAGACAUGAGACAAAAGAUAAAAAUUAAAAAAUAAAGUGCCAGCAAAGAAAAAACAUAUAUAUGUAUAUGUAAAAAUUACAAAAAAGUAAAUGGUUAAAAUCAACGCUACUUAGAGCAGUUGUCAAAAAAUACACAGUAAGAUAUAAAAAUAAGUGCUCGAUAAAUCUAUUUAUUUAACAGCAAAAAAAUGUACCUCCAUGGCUAGUUAGGGACCCAUCUUCCGAAGCUGUCACUCAUGGCAGUUAGUACCGGCUCAUGGCUCAUGACUGCGACGCGAGGGGCCCUCGGGAAGGGCCUAUGGCUGUUUGGCCAGUGGGUCUACAGUAAAUAAUUACAUAGGGGUAAAAUGCCGUGUGCACCAUUUCUAACUGUCCCAGAAUCCUGGUUUGUAAGGGAACUGAGUCAUUUUGCAGCAGGAUUAGUGCUCAUAUUUUCUUUCCUUCCUAAAGGGGAAGUGCUGUAAAAUUGGUGG
rnacentral:lncRNA from 1 species